rnacentral:misc_RNA from 1 species
AAGUCGUAACAAGGUUUCCGUAGGUGAACCUGCGGAAGGAUCAUUAUCAUAACGUAUCCACGUAUAAACCAAUCUAUUAAUGUGAAUUGUAAUGUUUAACCUUUGAUAACGAGUAUAAUGGUAUUGCUUUUUUGCAAAAAAGAGCAAUUCGUUAUCAAAGUGUAAUCAUAACCAUUUAAUCUUACUAUUAACCAAUUGAACCGAUUAACUUAAUUGUUAUUCAUAUUUCUUUAUUGUGAACUGAAUUGUUCUUUACUGUGUGUGUAACAACACAUAGAAAGAAUUAUAUUUACGAAACAUAAAUCUAUGAACAACUCUUAGCAACGGAUAUCUUGGUUCUC